rnacentral:lncRNA from 1 species
CUAAAUAUAGAGGUCAAAAAAAAAAAUUUAAGAGCAAGGAUCCUCAUCCAAUAUCGUGAGCAUUAUUUCUUAGUUUUCCUUCUCAGACCUAGUGGAAUAUUUCUCAGUUCAACUUGAUGAUUCUCUCAAACAGCAAAAUAGCCUUUCAGCUCAGUAAGGACAGAAACUGUAUCUUUCUCAUUUUUGUGGCACUACAGCCAAAAACCGACUGACACAAUACAGAUGCUCUGUAAAUGUCUGUAGAAACCAAGAGAGUUUGAAGUUUGAUCAUCAAGCCGUUCACAAAGAUUGAGCAGAGCAGCUGAUGGUAUUAGCGUAGGGAGAAUUCUAUAUGCAUGUAUAUAAUGUUGUGGAAAGGCCACACCUCAGGUUUGUAGUGUAUCUUAGGAUUGCCAUUAUUAAUUUAAAAUAUCCUGUGGCAUUCUUGCUUUGAGAAAAACAGUUGGAAUUCAAGAGCACAAUAAGAGAAUUAAUAACUUUGCUUUGAAAAUACAUGCAAUUUCAGAGCUGUCAAUUUUAGCUAUGUCUCUUUAAAUACUUUUUUCUUCUAGAAUCCAACUGGGUAGAUGAAGUUUGUUUUUUUUUAAUUCCAUUAUAAAAGUAAUAGCCCUGUUUUGGUGUUUUGUAAGCAGAUAAUAUUCUGCUGGUGACUGUCUUUGCAAUAAUGCAUUGCUCUGAAUUCUGAAUUCUAUUAUUUUACAUCUACAGCAGCGUAAAGUAUUUUUUAUAAACAGCAAACUUCACCUCAUAAAAAUUCAUUACAUAAGGGCAUAAGCAAGUGCUUUUCCUUCUAGUCAUUGGCAGUAAGUGAUUCAUCAGUUUUCCACAGAAAACCAAUUUCAUUGCAGAUGUUCUGUAAUUUCCAGUCCUCCUGAAUUGUGGAGCCAUAUCACACAAUCCCAAUGCCAGGAACAUAAGGACUUUUUAAAAGGUCUGUGCUUAGUCUCUUUAAUAGGAUUGAAUAUCACUUGCUGUCUCAUUGGUUUUAUUUUUUUAAAAUUAAGAAGUCAGACUCCUUUUCUUUCCUAUAUAUGUUGAUUCCACACAUGGGUGGAUAACUGGUAGCAAAUUCAAAACCAACAGAUUUCUUCGUAUUUGAAACAAUGACAUUCAUUCUUUUCCCUGGAAUCAAAGCAGAAAUAUUAAGAGAAACAAAAGUUUUCCCAAACCUAAAUCCUUUUUCUUCAAUCGUGCUUAAAUUCACUGUUUUUUUACCCCAGAGUAAGGAAGUCAGGCAGAGGGCU